AUCCUCUGGUUUCUCUUCAGAUCGUAUAAAUCUUUCGCCUUUUACUAAAGAUUUCCGUGGAGAGAAACAAUUUUGAGUUGUUAAACUAAUUUUUGGAGGUCUUGCCUUUGGCAAGGCC
rnacentral:snRNA from 1 species